rnacentral:lncRNA from 1 species
CUGAUAUAAGAUUGGAACCAAUCCAACUUAUGAUCACUCAAUGAUCAAGAGAUUCCAAGCUUAAUCCCGCGGAAGGAUGGAAACGAUGUGGAGAUAGUAUGAUUGACUCGCUCAAUCAAUGGGUUAAUCGACUCACUCGAUCAAUGAACGAAACAAGGAUGUUGAACUUAUCAACAAACUUAAUCCGCAUAUUCAAAUAGGCCUAAGAGACUCAUUCACUUAAGACUAAUGAACAAACGACAAAGACUCAAACUUUGACAAGAAGAAAAUGUUCUUAUUACUUUAAUAUGAUUAAGGGUGAUUUAUAAUGAGGAAUGAGCUGAGCUUAUAUAGGCUCGAAAUACAACAGCUCUAAUGUCUAAAACAAGAAGCAAAUCGCAAAAUUGAAUGAGAAACUAGCCGUUGGAAAUUAAAUGGCAAAAUCCGGCGAAAUAAGGAAAGUAGCCGUUAGCUUGUAUCUUGAAAGCUUGGGAAGGAAGUGGUGCGUCCUUGGAAGUCUCU